UACGGGGGGAGCAAGCGUUGUUCGGAAUUACUGGGCGUAAAGGGCGCGUAGGCGGCCUGUUAAGUCACACGUGAAAUCCCUCAGCUUAACUGGGGAACUGCGUGUGAUACUGGAUGGCUUGGAUUUGGGAGAGGGAUGCGGAAUUCCAGGUGUAGCGGUGAAAUGCGUAGAUAUCUGGAGGAACACCGGUGGCGAAGGCGGCAUCCUGGACCAAUAUUGACGCUGAGGAGCGAAAGCCAGGGGAGCAAACGGG
rnacentral:rRNA from 1 species